rnacentral:rRNA from 1 species
UGGGGGAUAUUGCACAAUGGGCGAAAGCCUGAUGCAGCGACGUCGCGUGGGGGAUGAAGGCCUUCGGGUUGUAAACUUCUUUUGCUCUGAACAAGGCAUGCUAAUGGGUGUGUUGAGUGUAGGGGUUGAUUAGCGCCGGCUAACUACGUGCCAGCAGCCGCGGUAAUACGUAGGGCGCGAGCGUUGUCCGGAAUUAUUGGGCGUAAAGGGCUUGUAGGUGGCUGGUUGCGUCUGUCGUGAAAGCUCAUGGCUUAACUGUGGGUUUGCGGUGGGUACGGGCUGGCUUGAGUGCAGUAGGGGAGGCUGGAAUUCCUGGUGUAGCGGUGGAAUGCGCAGAUAUCAGGAGGAGUACCGGUGGCGAAGGCGGGUCUCUGGGCUGUUACUGACACUGAGGAGCGAAAGCAUGGGGAGCGAACAGG